UCUCCGUAGGUGAACCUGCGGAAGGAUCAUUAUAAAUGAAAAACGAAUAACUUCAGGGAAGAAGGGAACCUGCACGGUGACCUCCCCUGUCGGGCCACCCAAUACCUUCAAAAUGCCGCCGUCCUAGCGGUGGCAGACGAAAAAAAAACAAGAAAAACAAAAUAGAAACAGGCACGGUGGCCCGUUCACCUUCACACAACCCUCCGAGUACCGCUUCCAUGUUGCUUCCCCGCAAAUCCACCUCUUUGGUGAGCGCGGGGGAGGUCCGCAUCAAAUUCACCUGAAUGUCACAGCAGUCAGACAGCCAUUCAUGGAAACAAUAAAACUUUCAACAACGGAUCUCUUGGUUCCC
rnacentral:misc_RNA from 1 species